AACGAACGCUGGCGGCAGGCUUAACACAUGCAAGUUGAACGUGAUUUGCUGGGUGCUUGCACCGAGCAAUGAAAGUAGCGCACUGGUGAGUAACACGUGGGAACGUACCUUUUGGUGGGGAACAACAGUUGGAAACGACUGCUAAUACCGCAUAAGCCCUGAGGGGGAAAGAUUUAUCGCCGAAAGAACGGCCCGCGGAAGAUUAGGUAGUUGGUGGGGUAACGGCCUACCAAGCCGACGAUCUAUAGCUGGUCUGAGAGGACGAUCAGCCACAUUGGGACUGAGACACGGCCCAAACUCCUACGGGAGGCAGCAGUGGGGGAAUAUUGCACAAUGGGGGGAAACCCUGAUGCAGCGACGCCGCGUGAGUGAGGAAGUAUUUCGGUAUGUAAAGCUCUAUCAGCAGGGAAGAAAAUGACGGUACCUGACUAAGAAGCCCCGGCUAACUACGUG
rnacentral:rRNA from 1 species